UACAGAGGGUGCUAGCGUUGUUCGGAAUCAUUGGGCGUAAAGGGCGUGUAGGCGGUUUGUUAAGUCAUGUGUGAAAUCCCUCGGCUCAACCGGGGAACGACGCAUGAAACUGGCAAGCUAGAGUACCAAAGAGGGGGGUGGAAUUCCCGGUGUAGCGGUGAAAUGCGUAGAUAUUGGGAGGAACACCAGUGGCGAAGGCGGCUCACUGGACCGGUUCUGACGCUGAGGCGCGAAAGCGUGGGGAGCAAACGGG
rnacentral:rRNA from 1 species